GAAGAAAAUGUUUUGUUUUGGCUAGCAUGUGAAGAUUUUAAGAAAAUGCAAGAUAAGACGCAGGCCUGGAAGAAUUUACUGAAACACCCAAUGUUAGACUUCCUGGAAACCAUCUCAUCCGGCCGGGCAGACUGAGAUCUUUAAUCUCAUGAAGUACGACAGCUACAGCCGCUUCUUAAAGUCUGACUUGUUUUUAAAACACAAGCGAACUGAGGAAGAGGAAGAAGAUUCGCCUGAUGCUCAAACUGCAGCUAAAAGAGCUUCCAGAAUUUAUAACACAUGAGACCCCAAAAAGCCAGGACUGGCAGCUUUAAGA
rnacentral:sRNA from 1 species